UACGUAGGGAGCAAGCGUUGUUCGGAUUUACUGGGCGUAAAGGGCGCGUAGGCGGCGCGACAAGUCACUUGUGAAAUCUCCGGGCUUAACUCGGAACGGUCAAGUGAAACUGUCAUGCUAGAGUGCAGAAGGGGCAAUCGGAAUUCUUGGUGUAGCGGUGAAAUGCGUAGAUAUCAAGAGGAACACCUGAGGUGAAGACGGGUUGCUGGGCUGACACUGACGCUGAGGCGCGACGGCGUGGGGAGCAAACCGG
rnacentral:rRNA from 1 species